CUUUCGGGCCGUGUUGUCUCAAUUUCAGUCUCUUCAGAUGUUGCGUGAGAGGCUGAACUCAGAUGGACUGCAUUCACCCGUGGAAGAGGAAGACUAUACCAUCGAAAGCCUUUUAUCAAGCCCAUCAUGCACUGUGCUCCGAAACCAACACAUACACAAUAUUGCAGAAGAACUGGACCCAACGUUUAAGGCUAGGAAGCGUGAGAGCCAAAUUUCCACCAGCCCCCCAUCAGCAGGUCUAUGUUUGGCCCCUCGUAACCCGCACAGUAUUUUUUAUGACUAUUUACCAGAACCCACCUUUAUACCACCAACUAAAAGGCAGAGCGACAAAGCAGGACGUCACAAACCCAAAGAAAAGAAAGAGAACUGUAAACAGCAGUGAACAUGUGACUAACUCAGUGUUGUCUUUUGAGUGUCUUAACAAGUAUUGUAGAAUCCAGUUUAUGGACACAGAUGAAACUUUUAGACUGAGUAACAAUUCAUGGUUUCAUCAUGUUGUUGUAUGGCAUCACACAACAUGACGGCACCAAGGGAGAUGUACGUAAUUUAAGAUAAGCACCUACUUUUAAACUAUUAAAAUACACAGAAGCAAAGUUCCUUCAUUAUAUGAUGAUCAAAAACCUGUUUUAAAGGUAGGGUAGGUGAUUUUGGAAGAGGUUAGCAAUAGCAAGCUAGCUUUGAAAGCAUAAGAUCCCACCCUCCCUGCAAAUCACAUUCCAGAGCCACGCCUCCUCCAAAACACAUGGAGACCGAGGAAUAUGAUUGGACGAACAUUUUAUGGUCCUACUCCUUCCACAGACAAUAUAAAUACCUAUAAAUAAAUUUAGACUACUUAACUUAGUGAUUGCUCUC
ensembl:lncRNA